GACGAACGCUGGCGGCGUGCUUAACACAUGCAAGUCGAACGGGCCCGCCCCUGUUUUUGGGGGUGGGUUGAGUGGCGAACGGGUGAGUAUCACGUGAGUAACCUGCCCCCUGCUCCUGGAUAACUGCUUGAAAGGGCGGCUAAUACGGGGUGUGCCGGCUGGUCCGCAUGGGCCUGGUCGGGAUAGUUUCAUCUUCGGGUGUUUCGGUGGGGGAUGGGCUCGCGGCCUAUCAGCUUGUUGGUGGGGUGAUGGCCCACCAAGGCGGUGACGGGUAGCCGGCCUGAGAGGGUGGGCGGCCACACUGGGAUUGAGACACGGCCCAGACUCCUGCGGGAGGCAGCAGUGGGGGGUAUUGCACAAUGGGCGGAAGCCUGAUGCAGCGACGUCGCGUGAGGGAUGGAGGCCUUCGGGUUGUGAACCUCUUUCUCCGGUGGUGAAGGCCCUGUCCGUUGCGGCGGGGUUGACGGUAGCCGGGUAUGAAGCGCCGGCUAACUACGUG
rnacentral:rRNA from 1 species